rnacentral:rRNA from 1 species
GACGAACGCUGGCGGCGUGCCUAAUACAUGCAAGUAGAACGCUGAAGGAGGAGCUUGCUUCUCUGGAUGAGUUGCGAACGGGUGAGUAACGCGUAGGUAACCUGCCUGGUAGCGGGGGAUAACUAUUGGAAACGAUAGCUAAUACCGCAUAAGAGUAGAUGUUGCAUGACAUUUGCUUAAAAGGUGCAAUUGCAUCACUACCAGAUGGACCUGCGUUGUAUUAGCUAGUUGGUGGGGUAACGGCUCACCAAGGCGACGAUACAUAGCCGACCUGAGAGGGUGAUCGGCCACACUGGGACGGAGACACGGCCCAGACUCCUACGGGAGGGAGCAGGAGGGAAUCUUCGGCAAUGGACGGAAGUCUGACCGAGAAACGCCGCGUGAGUGAAGAAGGUUUUCGGAUCGUAAAGCUCUGUUGUAAGAGAAGAACGAGUGUGAGAGUGGAAAGUUCACAGUGUGACGGUAUCUGACCAGAAAGGGACGGCUAACUACGUG